rnacentral:misc_RNA from 1 species
AUGAAGAACGCAGUAAAAUGCGAUACUUGGUGUGAAUUGCAGAAUCCCGUGAACCAUCGAGUUUUUGAACGCAAGUUGCGCCCGAAGCCUUUUGGCCGAGGGCACGUCUGCCUGGGCGUCACGCAUCGCGUCGCCCCCCACAAUUCUCCGUAAAGGGAACAUGUGUUUUGGGGGCGGAUAUUGGUCUCCCGUGCUCAUGGCGUGGUUGGCCGAAAUAGGAGUCCUUUCGAUGGACGCACGAACUAGUGGUGGUCGUAAAAACCCUCGUCUUUUGUUUCGUGCUGUUGCUCGCAAGGUAAACUCUUUAAAAACCCCAAUGUGUCGUCUCUUGACGACGCUUCGACCGCGACCCCAGGUCAGGCGGGACUACCCGCUGAGUUUAAGCAUAUCAAUAAGCGGAGGA